rnacentral:rRNA from 1 species
GAUGGACCUAUGGCGCAUUAGCUAGUUGGCGGGGCAACGGCCCACCAAGGCAACGAUGCGUAGCCGGCCUGAGAGGGCGGACGGCCACAUUGGGACUGAGACACGGCCCAGACUCCUACGGGAGGCAGCAGUAGGGAAUUUUCGGCAAUGGGGGAAACCCUGACCGAGCAACGCCGCGUGAGCGAAGAAGGCCUUCGGGUCGUAAAGCUCUGUUGUAAAGGAAGAACGUCGCAUGCAGGAAAUGGUGUGCGAGUGACGGUACUUUACCAGAAAGCCACGGCUAACUACGUGCCAGCAGCCGCGGUAAUACGUAGGUGGCGAGCGUUAUCCGGAAUCAUUGGGCGUAAAGAGGGAGCAGGCGGCCGCAAGGGUCUGUGGUGAAAGACCGAAGCUAAACUUCGGUAAGCCAUGGAAACCGGGCGGCUAGAGUGCGGAAGAGGAUCGUGGAAUUCCAUGUGUAGCGGUGAAAUGCGUAGAUAUAUGGAGGAACACCAGUGGCGAAGGCGACGGUCUGGGCCGCAACUGACGCUCAUUCCCGAAAGCGUGGGGAGCAAAUAGGAUUAGAUACCCUAGUAGUCCACGCCGUAAACGAUGAAUACUAGGUGUC